AUGAACGCUGGCGGCGUGCCUAAUACAUGCAAGUCGAGCGAACAGACGAGGAGCUUGCUCCCCUGACGUUAGCGGCGGACGGGUGAGUAACACGUGGAUAACCUACCUAUAAGACUGGGAUAACUUCGGGAAACCGGAGCUAAUACCGGAUAAUAUAUUGAACCGCAUGGUUCAAUAGUGAAAGACGGUUUUGCUGUCACUUAUAGAUGGAUCCGCGCCGCAUUAGCUAGUUGGUAAGGUAACGGCUUACCAAGGCAACGAUGCGUAGCCGACCUGAGAGGGUGAUCGGCCACACUGGAACUGAGACACGGUCCAGACUCCUACGGGAGGCAGCAGUAGGGAAUCUUCCGCAAUGGGCGAAAGCCUGACGGAGCAACGCCGCGUGAGUGAUGAAGGUCUUCGGAUCGUAAAACUCUGUUAUUAGGGAAGAACAAAUGUGUAAGUAACUAUGCACGUCUUGACGGUACCUAAUCAGAAAGCCACGGCUAACUACGUG
rnacentral:rRNA from 1 species